UACGGGGGGGGCAAGCGUUUGUUCGGAAUUACUGGGCGUAAAGGGCUCGUAGGUGGCCAACUAAGUCAGACGUGAAAUCCCUCGGCUUAACCGGGGAACUGCGUCUGAUACUGGAUGGCUUGAGUUCGGGAGAGGGAGUGCGGAAUUCCAGGUGUAGCGGUGAAAUGCGUAGAUAUCUGGAGGACACCGGUGGCGAAGGCGGCACUCCUGGACCGACACUGACACUGAGGAGCGAAAGCCAGGGGAGCAAACGGG
rnacentral:rRNA from 1 species